CUUUGCUUUCUGAUGUCUGGCCCCUGCCAUGCCCUGGCUCCCCUUGUGGAUCAGGACCAGUUCCGGGGGGAUGACCUUGGAGACAUCAUUCGAAGACCAGAGAGCAAUGGGGUGGUGUUCCAUCCACCACGCCACCUGGCUACCCUGGGUUGACUACUACAAUAUCACAAUGAGGGCAUCAGAGAAAUGGAGACCAAAGACUACGAGACAUCAGAUGGGGAAAUUUUCCUGAAGGAGGUGUCAUCCGAGUUGGCCUUAAAGGAUUGGUGGGAAUUCAACAUACAAAAGGCAUUCAAUGUUUUAAAACCUGAAACAAGCCUGGCUGAUCGAA